GAUCGAACCCGCGUCCCCUGCAUUGGCAGGCGGAUUCUUAACCACUGUGCCACCAGGGAAGCCCCAGUACCGUUUUUAUAGAUUCCAUAUAUGAUCUCACCAGUUUUGACCCUGUGUCAUUCUUCUCUUCCAGGACCCAGUCCAGAACACUACAGUACAUAUAGUCGUCACAUGUUCUCUGUCUCUUCUGCUGUAUUAACACUCUUUCAGUCUUUCCUUGUUUUUCAUGACCUUGGCAAGUGUGAGGAAUACUGAUGAGGCCCUGCUUAGAAUAUCCCUGAAGUUGAGAUUGUGAUAUGUUUUCCUCAUGAUUAGAAUAAGUGAGAUGUGGAACCUUUCUCCAGAAUAGCUCAUCAUGUCAUAUCAUUUGAUAAUUGACUUAAUUUAUCAUUAAGUUGGUGAAUCACUUGUGUAAAGUAUUUGCCAAGUUUCUCCAAUGUGGAGUGACUGUGGUUUUCUUUUCCAUAUUCUCUUCUUUGCCAGGAAAUUACUAAGUGUUUUUCAUACUCAACGUGGGGCUGGGGCGAGGGGAGUAAAAUAAGCUUCCCUAUUAGAAAAGAGGAAUAACUCCAUAUAUUAGUCAUCAUUUUUAGGUAAGGAAUAUAUUUCUCUUCUCCAUUCAUUUCUAUAGUUAUUUUUCUAACGUUGAUAUGGAAUCCUAUGUAUUUAUUGAAUAUUUUAUAUUACCAUUCGGUACAUUUAUUACCAUUUAUUUUGUUGUUCAAGUUGAUCUACAUUUGGCCAUUUGGGAGGUCUUUCAGUUUAGCUCUCCUUCCCCUUGAUGUGCCACCAGACUUUUGAUUUGAGCCUCUAUAGGAUCUUCCAGGCUCCUGUGUAUUUCCGGUUUCCACAGCCAACUCAGUAAUUCCUGCUUCCUUCACAUGAGACUCUGACUUUUACUUUUGGGAUAAAGUAAAAAAAAAAAAAAGGAGUCUCUCAAAACUCUUCAAUAAUCUCCUUGGAAAUAACUAGACUAGGAGGUUGUAGUUUUUGGUAAUUAACGACGAGGGUAAAAUUUUUCACAAAUACCCUCCGUUCCCCAGAACUGUUCUCUCAUUGCAUACUUGCCGUACUGCAGGGAGAUGAGGUCCCACAAUCACAAAAACGCACCUAGGUUUAUGACUGCCGCCUUCCAACAUAAGUACUGGCUGUCUUGACCACACUGAGCCCACCAUUCUGGCACAGAAAGGAGUCCGGUGACAAUUUUUUCUUUCAGUCUGAAAGGAUGACUGUCCAUGGAAGGAAGCUUAUCAGGAAUUUAGGUACGUGCUCAUGUCAGAAAAAGUGAUUCUUCAGAAUUUCAUUCCGGUCCAGUGCCAAAGCCACACAGGAAGAUGAAAUAAUUCUGAAGCUUGAGCUGAACUAGCAAAGAGAGAUUGAGAUUAUAGUUCCUACAUCAAUCCGUUAUGCUUCGAAUGUAAUUAAGUGUAAUUCGCAAUGACGCUCGCCGUAAAUCACAGGGGAUUCUUGGUGUUGAAUCCAAGUAACACUUCAACCGGACAUUUAAUAUAAUCUUUUAAUAUACUUUUUAACGUACUCUUUAAUAUACUCUUAAUUGGUUUCAACAGAUUGAAACCAAUCUAUUGUUCAUAUUAAUUACUGGAAUCAGAGACUAAAUUUUCAGGAUUACUGCAGGUAUAUGCCUGUAACACCACGUGCUUAUAAUAAAGAGUAAGAUGAAUGUACGUAAACCAUUAUGUCCUGUGCAGAAAUGAUGUAUCCAAAUGGUGGUUGCUGGAACAGAAAUGUGUUCUCUAACUCAGGGUGUAUGAAGUGCUUUAAUGGAGACAGUGAAUUUUUUCUACUGCAAAUGUCAAUGGUCUGUUCAUUUUGAUGAGAUGGUCUUCCCUCUUGAAGAAAAGGAGUCAAGCCUUAAGGAAAUAUAAAUAUAUAAUAAUGAGUUUCAGAGAACAGAAGUCAGGCUCAAAUGUAUCUUGUGAUAUUUGCUCUGUUUUAAAAAGUCUACCAACAAAAAUAUAUGACUCCAGUUUAAUAAAAUGCACCCGACUUUACACGAGAGGUUCCAUUUUUGCAUAACUAUCAUGUAUGUUAAAAUAAAAUAAAAGGCAAAUCUCUCCUCAUUGCUAAUAGUUUUACUUCACUCUUGCAUUAAUAAAUUGAUAAGCAUAUGAUGUAAAAUUAGUGAUAUUUUUCUACCCUACACAAUUUUAUUAAUAUUAGUGAUUCAUAACAACUACUUUAAGGCACACUGUGACAUUCAACAAUUCCUGUUAGGUGGAAUUACAUUUUGUUCAGGCACAGAAGCAAAGAAGUCUUUCUGUAACAGCCCUCAUAUUAAGCCCGUCUUGCGUUCACUAAGUCCAACUUGGUCAUGUGGCAGGUUUCUGUAGUAUUGCAAUGAGAGCAUCUACAUUAAGUUAAUCUCUAAGUCUUUUGCAUAAUUGAUAUUGGGCUAUGAAAUAAAUCUUUAUACCUAAAUGGAAACUCAUCAGUACUCAAUAAAAUAAAUUACCACCAACUUAAACUAUGAUGACAAGUUAGGAUACCAGGUAAAUAUAUACAUAAGCUAUUGGAAGAACACAGCUAACUAGAUUUGUAAGUACAUCAUAGUGGUUAACUAUGCUAGGUUUGUUACCAGAAAAAGGAUUUGGGAUUCUUUUAUGCUUUAUUUCAUAACAGAAUCACCAUCUUAUUGGCUGUAGGACUGUUAUUAUUCCCUGAUGUUUCACGUUAGGUGCUCAUGAUCUGAUCCAUGUUUCUAUGGUUUUCAUCUUGAAUAGGCACAGGCAGCAGGUUCAACACAUCCAGAGGACUAACGUCUCCCUUAGAUUCCUCCUGCCCUGGAUCUAGAGCCACCCAAAGCAUUCCAGUCUUGAUGAGCUCUUUUGUGUCUUUGCAACCCUCUCUUCCCUAUUUCACAUUUCUCUGGCUCCUUUUAAUAAUCCCAGCUGGGGGAUGGUGAAAUCUGCUGCGUUGAUUACUAUCUGUUUCUUGACUCUAAUCCCCUUCAUUCUCUUGAUUCAUAACUGCAGAGAAUCCAGACUUAUUUUUUUUUUUUGGCCAUGCCACACAGCUUGCGGGAUCUUAGUUCCCUGAUGACCAGGGGUUGAAUCUGGGCCGUGGCAGUGGAAGCGCCAAAUCCUAACCACUAGCCCACCAGGGAACUCCCUUUAUUUUUUUUUAUAAUAAUUAGAGAAUUUCCUAAUCUUGUGAGAUAUAUAUAAAUUGAUUGUAUUUGUACAUUGGUCAGUUUUUAAUUUAUUCAUCCUCUGUAAUUCCUAAGUAUAAUUAUUAAACUGUCAUUUACAAGAGAGUGGCAUAUAAGGCAAUUUUAUGCUGCAAAAGAAGCAAUAAAUCAUAAUACAACUGUAAAUGCAUUAUCGUGUGAUUAACAUAUAAAUACCUAUGUAAAUAUCACUUUAUUAAUGCUUGUAGUGGAACUUCAGAAUCUAGGCAGUGUUAAGCAGAAGUCUCUUAAAUAAUCUGGGGAUUAGAGAGGAGUCUUGACUGUGCAAUUAUCUAUCUGAAAUAAUACAUUUUCCUAGAAAUAAACUCACCCCGAAUUGUAGGAAAAGCUGCAUGAAAUGAAACAGCAUGUGAGAUGGCCAUUCAAAAUAUACAGGGAUUGGGCUUCCCUGGUGGUGCAGUGGUUAAGAAUUCGCCUGCCAAUGCAGGGGACACCGGUUUGAGCCCUGGUCCGGGAAGAUCCCACAUGCCGUGGAGCAACUAAGCCCGUGCGCCACAACUACUGAGCCUGCACUCUAGAGCCUGCGAGCCACAACUACUGAGCCCACGAGCCACAACUACUGAAGCCCGCGCGCCUAGAGCCUGAGCUCCGCAACAAGAGAAGCCACCACAGUGAGAAGCCCGUGCACUGCAACGAAGAGUGGCCCCUGCUUACCACAACUAGAGAAAGCCCGUGUGUAGCAACAAAGACCCAAUGCAGCCAAGAAUAAAAAUAAAUAUAUAAAUAUAUAUAUAUAUAGGGAUUAUAUAUAUAUUCAGUAUAUAACUGAAUUCCCAUUAGGAUCACAUGAUCAGUAUUAAGAACUAGCAUCACGUGUGUGCUCCCCAGAGAAUCUGUCUAUUGGUCCUGUGGGAGCUUCAGUGUUGCUUUAAUUAAGUGCUCCAGGUGAUUCCAAAGAGAGAUCAGGGUUAAGCACAUGGUCUUCUGGGUACACUUGUGAGAGCUGAGGCAAGGCUUUAGUCUAAGGAGAAGCAACAGUCUGCUCUACAGGGGUUUGGAAGGGGAACGUUAGUGCAGCCCACACACCCUGUGUUAGCAGUAUUUUGGGACAUUUAUGAGGAGACAACAUGUGUUGACAACAAAGAACAAAUUCACAGCUGGUCUCCAUGUAGGAGCUGUUUGUUCCUGACUCUCUCCUUAGACAAAGGACAGGAGAGACUGGCCUUUUCAGGACUUCAAAGUCGGCUUUGAAAGUUUGGCCUGUGGAUAUGGUGGGAACAGAUGAAGGAGCUGUGCUGAUGCCACAGAAGGCAUAUUCUCAAGGUGCUGACCUAAUUCCUCAACAUAAUAUUGAUGAGAAAACGACCCAGAGCAGGCAGAAGAAGAGGAGAAAAUGGCAGCUUCUCAGGGGCCUCCUGCCUCUGAGAGUGGAGGUAGCAGGUGAAGGCGCUGUGCUGAUGCCCUCAAAGAUGUACAGGUGCCAUAUAUCUACAUAAUAUUGCCUGAGAAAGGAACCUAGAAGUGGAGGAGGAAGAGGAAGAAAUGGCAGGUUCUCAGGUAAAAUCUGUGACCCAGGUCAGCGGCUGUGUCCCCUUUUCUUGCUGAAAUCCCAUGUAUUUAGAACUUGCAAACAUUUACUUCUCUACCUCUGGUGGUCCUGCCUAACAAAUUUGUUUUCAAUACUUUUCUUUUCUUCCUAAUGAUAGCCAAGGUUAGAUUUUUAGGAUAUUCCUCUCUUACAUCCUAUCGCCUUCUCUCCUUUUCUCCAUCCAGGCUCCCUUUAGAGCAUAAAGAAUUCCUACCACGUAUUACUGAUGUGCAAAUGUUGAAAAUGUUCCCUUUUUGUCCUAUCAACUUGGGGAUGUGUUGAUACACAAGAUGCCCGCUUAAUAUGAGGUUGGGUCCGGGGAUAUGAGUGAAGAAGGAGAAUAUGUGAUGUAUACGUCCUGUCUGGUUGCAGCAUCAGACUAUGCAGACAAGGAUAAUGAAAAAGCACCAAUAAAGCUGAUUGCUAUAUGGUCCAGAAUAACCCAAAGUUCUGAAAAAGAGAGCUCCCAAUUGCCUCAAGGAAAGACUUACUAUUUAAAAUACACAAGGGUACAGGACAUGAGAGUUAUAUGUGGUUUUAAAUGUGCUUAACCCUGUUCGUAUGAUUCAUGUUUUUCCGUUUGCUUUUUUGCAAAACUAUCCCAGCAAUGAUGAUGAAGCCCAUGUGCAUUGGUCAGCUGAUAGCAAUUUGUCCCAUUAAAACGGAUGUUAAUUUUGUUCACUUGAUUCAGGGGCUGUCUGCCAGAUUCAACUGGAAAGCUAAUAAUUUUCCAAUUAUCAUUAAUAGGGUCUUGGAGGGAUUUACUGAGAGAUGUGUAUAAACCAUUGCAUUUCAUGCGAAUACUCCCCCUGUCUACUUCAUUUCCCUUUACUUGUAGAUUGCUUUGGAAAAUGAAGCCUCUCAUUUUUGUUCAGGCUUUUGGUAGUAAAUGUUCUAUAAAUUUCCUUUUUAUUCCACUGUCAUUUCACAGUAAUUCUCUUAUUUAUGACUUAUUGUAUCUUCAGGAAAAGAACACAAGAGUCCUAUAGUAUAUGUUCAAGUAUCCUAAAAUGCUAUAAUAUAAUCAGCACAAAUAAAUGAAAUCAUUUCAAGGAAACAGGGAUUUGUUGAUGCAAAGAAAGUCUUCACGAUGUUUCAUCUGUCAUUCUCAUUUCUUGAGUUGAUCUGCAUCUUUCACUCUAGAUCAGUGAUCAUUCUAGAUGUUUAUAAAAUGAAACAAGAUAUUGUUGCCCACAUCGUAAAAUCGGCUAUCCAUUCCUUAUUUUUGAUUGAGUAGUACUUGGAAGUAGAGUUAAGGAUCUGCAAAUUAGAAAUGCUUCGUAAGUGUUUUAAAGGGGCUGUCAGGAAAUACCAUUUGGUGAAGUACUUUUCUAUAACCUACAGUGUCCUCUCUUCUCUAUUGAACACAAUACUGGACUGGAAAGUGUAGAAUUCCUGGGAUGAGUCAUGUUCCUUUUUUUAAUAAACAGGUCUUGCUGUCUCUAAGCUGAACCUGGUCACCUUUUUUGAGCAAAGGAAAGAGCCCUGGGAUGUGAAGAAAAGGAGACAACAGUCAUACACCCAGGUUGGCAUAUCAGCGUUUCAAGGUCCUUUUGCCUGUGGGCGUGGUGGGAACAGGUGAAGGAGCUGUGCUGACGCCACAGAAGGUAUAUUCUCAAGAUGCUGCCCUGAUUCCUCAACAUAAUACCGAUGAGAAAACAACCCAGAGCAGGAGGAAGAAGAGGAGAAGAUGGCAGCUCAGGUAAACGUCCUGUCCUGGGUCAGAGGCCGUGUCUGCUUUUUCUCCUGAAAUGUCAUGGAUUGAGAACCUGCAAACGUUUCAUUUUCUACUUCUGAUGUUCCUGCCUAGCAAGGUUGUUUUCAGCUACUUGUUUUUUCCUUCUUAUGAUAGUCAGCUCUUUACAAUACUUCUCCCCUGUGUUCCAGAGCCUUUUCCCCAUUGUCUGCAUCCAGGCUCCCUACAGGGCAUGGAGAAUUCUCACCAUGAAUUAACGACCUUCAACUAUUGAAAUCAUUCCUUUCUCACCAUGAAUUAACGACCUUCAACUGUUCAAAUUAUUCCAUUUAUGAAAGAUCAACAUGGGAAGGCAUUAAUAUCCCAAACUCCCUCUGGGAUAAUUUCAGAUGUUGAGAUAUUAGUAAAGAAGGGGAAAGUGGAAUGAUUAAUGUACGUCUGAAUGCAACAUCAACUUAGCACCACAGGAUUAACGCACUUUUUUUUUUUUUUUUUUUUCGGUACGCGGGCCUCUCACUG